UAAAAAAAGGUAAGCUACUAAGAGCGAAUGGUGGAUGCCUUGACUGGUAAAGGCGAUGAAGGACGUACUAGACUGCGAUAAGCUACGGGGAGCUGUCAAGAAGCUUUGAUCCGUAGAUUUCCGAAUGGGGCAACCCAAUGUAUAGAGAUAUACAUUACCUAUAUAGGAGCGAACGAGGGGAAUUGAAACAUCUUAGUACCCUCAGGAAAAGAAAUCAAUAGAGAUUGCGUCAGUAGCGGCGAGCGAAAGCGCAAGAGGGCAAACCCAGUGCUUGCACUGGGGGUUGUAGGACUGCAAUGUGCAAGAGGUAAGUUUAGCAGAACAUUCUGGAAAGUAUAACCAUAGAGGGUGAUAGUCCCGUAUGCGAAAAACAAACCUUAGCUAGCAGUAUCCUGAGUAGGGCGGGACACGAGGAAUCCUGUCUGAAUCCGGGUCGACCACGAUCCAACCCUAAAUACUAAUACCAGAUCGAUAGUGCACAAGUACCGUGAGGGAAAGGUGAAAAGAACUGAGGUGAUCAGAGUGAAAUAGAACCUGAAACCAUUUGCUUACAAUCAUUCAGAGCCCUAUGUAGCAAUACAGGGUGAUGGACUGCCUUUUGCAUAAUGAGCCUGCGAGUUGUGGUGUCUGGCAAGGUUAAGCAAACGCGAAGCCGUAGCGAAAGCGAGUCUGAAUAGGGCGCUUAGUCAGAUGCUGCAGACCCGAAACGAAGUGAUCUAUCCAUGAGCAAGUUGAAGCUAGUGUAAGAACUAGUGGAGGACUGAACCCAUAGGCGUUGAAAAGCCCCGGGAUGACUUGUGGAUAGGGGUGAAAGGCCAAUCAAACUUCGUGAUAGCUGGUUCUCUCCGAAAUAUAUUUAGGUAUAGCGUUGUGUCGUAAUAUAAGGGGGUAGAGCACUGAAUGGGCUAGGGCAUACACCAAUGUACCAAACCCUAUCAAACUCCGAAUACCUUAUAUGUAAUCACAGCAGUCAGGCGGCGAGUGAUAAAAUCCGUCGUCAAGAGGGAAACAACCCAGACUACCAGCUAAGGUCCCUAAAUCUUACUUAAGUGGAAAACGAUGUGAAGUUACUUAAACAACCAGGAGGUUGGCUUAGAAGCAGCCAUCCUUUAAAGAAAGCGUAAUAGCUCACUGGUCUAGUGAUUUUGCGCGGAAAAUAUAACGGGGCUAAAGUAAGUACCGAAGCUGUAGACUUGCACACAACUUAGAUUAUUUAAGUUUAGAAUAUGAGAAACUAAGUUAUAUGUUUAGUUAUAUUUUUACUGAUUUUUAUAGAGUAAAGAUAGAAAUAAAACUUAGUAAAAUCAGUAAAAAUAUUCUUAGACUAAAGUUAAGUAGUUUAAGUUGUGUGCAAGUGGUAGGAGAGCGUUCUAUUUGCGUCGAAGGUAUACCGGUAAGGAGUGCUGGAGCGAAUAGAAGUGAGCAUGCAGGCAUGAGUAGCGAUAAUUAAUGUGAGAAUCAUUAACGCCGUAAACCCAAGGUUUCCUACGCGAUGCUCGUCAUCGUAGGGUUAGUCGGGUCCUAAGUCGAGUCCGAAAGGGGUAGACGAUGGCAAAUUGGUUAAUAUUCCAAUACCAACAUUAGUGUGCGAUGGAAGGACGCUUAGGGCUAAGGGGGCUAGCGGAUGGAAGUGCUAGUCUAAGGUCGUAGGAGGUUGUACAGGCAAAUCCGUAUAACAAUACUCCGAGAACUGAAAGGCUUUUUGAAGUCUUCGGAUGGAUAGAAGAACCCCUGAUGCCGUCGAGCCAAGAAAAGUUUCUAAGUUUAGCUAAUGUUGCCCGUACCGUAAACCGACACAGGUGGGUGGGAUGAGUAUUCUAAGGCGCGUGGAAGAACUCUCUUUAAGGAACUCUGCAAAAUAGCACCGUAUCUUCGGUAUAAGGUGUGGUUAGCUUCGUACUAGGAUUUACUCCGAAAGCGAAGAAACUUACAACAAAGAGUCCCUCCCGACUGUUUACCAAAAACACAGCACUCUGCUAACUCGUAAGAGGAUGUAUAGGGUGUGACGCCUGCCCGGUGCUCGAAGGUUAAUUGAUGGGGUUAGCAUUAGCGAAGCUCUUGAUCGAAGCCCGAGUAAACGGCGGCCGUAACUAUAACGGUCCUAAGGUAGCGAAAUUCCUUGUCGGUUAAAUACCGACCUGCAUGAAUGGCGUAACGAGAUGGGAGCUGUCUCAAAGAGGGAUCCAGUGAAAUUGUAGUGGAGGUGAAAAUUCCUCCUACCCGCGGCAAGACGGAAAGACCCCGUGGACCUUUACUACAGCUUGACACUGCUACUUGGAUAAGAAUGUGCAGGAUAGGUGGGAGGCUUUGAGUAUAUGACGCCAGUUGUAUAUGAGCCAUUGUUGAGAUACCACUCUUUCUUAUUUGGGUAGCUAACCAGCUUGAGUUAUCCUCAAGUGGGACAAUGUCUGGUGGGUAGUUUGACUGGGGCGGUCGCCUCCCAAAUAAUAACGGAGGCUUACAAAGGUUGGCUCAGAACGGUUGGAAAUCGUUCGUAGAGUAUAAAGGUAUAAGCCAGCUUAACUGCAAGACAUACAAGUCAAGCAGAGACGAAAGUCGGUCUUAGUGAUCCGGUGGUUCUGUGUGGAAGGGCCAUCGCUCAAAGGAUAAAAGGUACCCCGGGGAUAACAGGCUGAUCUCCCCCAAGAGCUCACAUCGACGGGGAGGUUUGGCACCUCGAUGUCGGCUCAUCGCAUCCUGGGGCUGGAGCAGGUCCCAAGGGUAUGGCUGUUCGCCAUUUAAAGCGGUACGCGAGCUGGGUUCAGAACGUCGUGAGACAGUUCGGUCCCUAUCUGCCGUGGGCGUAAGAAGAUUGAAGAGAUUUGACCCUAGUACGAGAGGACCGGGUUGAACAAACCACUGGUGUAGCUGUUGUUCUGCCAAGAGCAUCGCAGCGUAGCUAAGUUUGGAAAGGAUAAACGCUGAAAGCAUCUAAGCGUGAAGCCAACUCUAAGAUGAAUCUUCUCUAAGCUCUCUAGAAGACUACUAGUUUGAUAGGCUGGGUGUGUAAUGGAUGAAAGUCCUUUAGCUGACCAGUACUAAUAGAGCGUUUGGCUUAUCUUUAAUAAAGCAU
rnacentral:rRNA from 1 species